CCCCCCCCCCGCCAUCCCCGCCGUGAGGCGCCCUCCCCCUCCCCUUCGCUCCCCUCCCCCAAACCACAGCCCGAGCUCGCUCCUGCGCGCGCGCGCGCUCUCCGGGGCCCAAGUGAAUAGUCCUCGCGCGAGCGGGACACGGUGGUGGAUGCAAUUCCGCUCGCCUACAGCCGCCGGGAGCUCCCUGGCGCCGCAGGCAGCGUCCUCCGAAGCAGCGGCGCCUGCACCUGGGCAGCCUGGACCUUCGUGCCCUGCCCCCGGGGCCUCGCGCGGGGGGCGCCCCGGGACACCCCCUGUGGGCCGGGGGGAGGAGGAAGAGGAGGAGGAAGACGACGUGGACGUGGCCCCGGACCCGUACCCUACGCGGAACACCUGGCUGCGCUGCUGCCGCUUCGCUUUCAGCGGGAGCAGAAGAGAGCCCGGGAGAGCCAUGGGGGGCAGCGAAGUCCGGGAAUUUCUUUUGCAGUUUGGUUUCUUCCUGCCUCUGCUGGCAGCUUGGCCGGGCGACUGCAGUCACGUCUCCAACAACCAAGUUGUGUUGCUGGAUACAACAACUGUGCUGGGAGAGCUAGGAUGGAAAACAUAUCCAUUAAAUGGGUGGGAUGCCAUCACUGAAAUGGAUGAACACAAUAGGCCCAUUCACACAUACCAGGUAUGUAAUGUGAUGGAACCAAACCAAAACAACUGGCUUCGUACAAACUGGAUCUCCCGUGAUGCAGCUCAGAAAAUUUAUGUGGAAAUGAAGUUCACACUGAGGGAUUGUAACAGCAUCCCAUGGGUUUUGGGGACUUGCAAAGAAACAUUUAAUCUAUAUUAUGUGGAAUCAGAUGAAUCCCAUGGAAUUAAAUUCAAGCAAAGCCAGUAUACAAAGAUUGACACGAUUGCUGCUGAUGAAAGUUUUACCCAGAUGGAUUUGGGUGAUCGCAUUCUCAAACUCAACACUGAAAUUCGUGAGGUGGGGCCUAUAGAAAGGAAAGGAUUUUAUCUUGCUUUUCAAGACAUCGGGGCAUGCAUUGCCCUAGUUUCGGUCCGUGUUUUCUACAAAAAGUGCCCUUUUACUGUUCGCAACCUGGCCAUGUUUCCAGACACCAUCCCAAGGGUUGAUUCUUCCUCCUUGGUUGAAGUAAGGGGCUCUUGUGUGAAGAGUGCAGAAGAGCGUGACACUCCUAAACUAUAUUGUGGAGCUGACGGAGAUUGGCUGGUUCCUCUUGGAAGGUGUAUUUGCAGUAUAGGAUAUGAAGAAAUCGAAGGUUCUUGCCACGCUUGCAGACCAGGAUUCUAUAAAGCAUUUGCUGGCAACACAAAGUGUUCUAAAUGUCCUCCACACAGUUUAACCUAUAUGGAAGCAACUUCUGUCUGUCAGUGUGAAAAGGGUUACUUUCGAGCUGAAAAGGACCCACCUUCCAUGGCAUGUACCAGGCCACCUUCAGCUCCUAGGAAUGUGGUUUUUAACAUCAAUGAAACGGCCCUUAUUUUGGAAUGGAGCCCACCAAGUGACACAGGAGGGAGAAAAGAUCUCACAUACAGUGUAAUCUGUAAGAAAUGUGGCUUAGACACCAGCCAGUGUGAGGACUGUGGUGGAGGACUCCGCUUCAUCCCAAGACAUACUGGCCUGAUCAACAGUUCCGUGAUAGUACUUGACUUUGUGUCUCACGUGAAUUACACCUUUGAAAUAGAAGCCAUGAAUGGAGUUUCUGAGUUGAGUUUUUCUCCCAAGCCAUUCACAGCUAUUACAGUGACCACGGAUCAAGAUGCACCUUCCCUAAUAGGUAUGGUAAGGAAGGACUGGGCAUCUCAAAAUAGCAUUGCCCUAUCAUGGCAAGCACCUGCUUUUUCCAAUGGAGCCAUACUGGACUACGAGAUCAAGUACUAUGAGAAAGUCUACCCACGGAUAGCGCCGGCAUUUUGGCACUACCUGCGGGUAGAAGAGCAUGAGCAGCUCACCUAUUCCUCCACGAGGUCCAAGGCCCCCAGUGUCAUCAUCACAGGUCUCAAGCCAGCCACCAAGUACAUUUUUCAUAUCCGAGUGAGGACAGCAACAGGAUACAGUGGCUACAGUCAGAAGUUUGAAUUUGAAACAGGAGAUGAAACUUCUGACAUGGCGGCAGAACAGGGGCAGAUUCUUGUGAUAGCCACCGCAGCCGUGGGAGGAUUCACGCUCCUCGUCAUUCUUACUUUGUUCUUCUUAAUCACUGGCAGGUGUCAAUGGUACAUAAAGGCCAAAAUGAAGUCAGAAGAGAAGAGAAGAAAGGACUUACAGAAUGGGCAUUUACGCUUCCCAGGAAUUAAAACUUACAUAGAUCCAGAUACAUAUGAAGACCCAUCCCUAGCAGUUCAUGAAUUUGCAAAGGAGAUUGAUCCCUCAAGAAUACGCAUUGAGAGAGUCAUUGGGGCAGGUGAAUUUGGAGAAGUCUGUAGUGGGCGUUUGAAAACACCAGGGAAACGAGAGAUCCCAGUUGCCAUCAAAACUUUGAAAGGCGGCCACAUGGAUAGGCAAAGAAGAGAUUUUUUAAGAGAAGCCAGUAUCAUGGGUCAGUUUGACCACCCAAAUAUCAUUCGCUUAGAAGGUGUUGUCACAAAAAGAUCCUUCCCGGCCAUUGGGGUGGAAACGUUUUGCCCCAGCUUCCUGAGGGCAGGGUUUUUAAAUAGCCUCCAGGCCCCGCAUCCAGUGCCAGGGGGAGGAUCUUUGCCCCCCAGGAUUCCUGCUGGCAGACCAGUAAUGAUUGUGGUGGAAUAUAUGGAGAAUGGAUCCCUAGACUCCUUUUUGCGGAAACAUGAUGGCCACUUCACAGUCAUCCAGUUGGUCGGUAUGCUCCGAGGCAUUGCAUCAGGAAUGAAGUAUCUUUCUGAUAUGGGUUAUGUUCAUCGAGAUCUAGCAGCUAGGAAUAUAUUGGUCAACAGCAACUUAGUAUGCAAAGUUUCUGAUUUUGGUCUCUCCCGAGUGCUGGAAGAUGAUCCAGAAGCUGCUUAUACUACAACUGGUGGGAAAAUACCCAUAAGGUGGACAGCCCCAGAAGCUAUUGCCUACAGAAAAUUCUCCUCGGCAAGUGAUGCGUGGAGCUAUGGCAUUGUCAUGUGGGAGGUCAUGUCCUAUGGAGAGAGACCUUAUUGGGAAAUGUCUAACCAAGAUGUCAUUCUGUCCAUUGAAGAAGGUUACAGACUUCCGGCUCCCAUGGGCUGUCCGGCAUCACUACACCAGCUGAUGCUCCAUUGCUGGCAGAAGGAGAGAAAUCACAGACCAAAAUUUACUGACAUUGUCAGCUUCCUUGACAAACUGAUCCGCAAUCCCAGUGCCCUUCACACCCUGGUAGAGGACAUCCUUGUGGUUAAUGGAAUCCACAGCCAGUGCCCGUCAACGGAGCUCUCUGACUGUUCUAUGGCUGUAGAAGCAGGCAGAAUGCCAGACUCCCCUGGUGAAGUUCCUGAAUAUCCUUUGUUUGUGACAGUUGGUGACUGGCUGGAUUCUAUAAAAAUGGGGCAAUAUAAGAAUAACUUCAUGGCAGCAGGGUUUACAACUUUUGAACUGAUUUCAAGAAUGAGCAUCGAUGAUAUUAGAAGAAUUGGAGUCAUACUCAUUGGACACCAGAGACGAAUAGUCAGCAGUAUACAGACUUUACGUUUACACAUGAUGCACAUACAGGAGAAGGGAUUUCAUGUAUGAAAGUACUACAAGCACCUGUGUUUUGUGCCUCAGCAUUUCUAAAAUGAAAGAUAUCCUCUCUACUACCCUCUCUUCUAAUUCUCCAAACAUCACUUCACAGACUGCAGUUUCCUGUUCAGACUACAGGCACACACCUUUCGUUUAUGCUUCCAGCCUGGAUUUAAAAAUCACUCUUCAUAGCUCCUCCCUGAAUAAUCUGCAAAUAAAACCCUGGCCCACUGCAGAUUAUCACUACACAAUGAGGCAGAGCAUGAAUGCAGAACAUGAAAACGGACCAAGUUCCAUUAAAACUGAGGAAAAGACAAACAGUGUCCUAUUCUCAACAUGGAGGACACAAAGUGACCAAGACAAGCAAAAGCCCCUGUCUCAUGGAAUUGACCUUCUAGUGGUAAAGACACACAGUGAAGAAGUACUGAUAAGUGCUAUGCUGCAAAUUAAAUAUUGUUAUAUACCAUGACUGUGGUUUCUUUAUAUUAAGUGGUAAGGGAAAUCUUUUCUGAGGAUGUGAUAUUUAAACUAAUAUACAAAAAGCAUGAAGGAACCAGUCAUGAGAAAAUCUGGGGGAAUUCCAGGCAGAAGGAAUAGUUUAAUGAAUGAGAGUUUGGAGUGUUUGAGGGUAGAGAGAACAGUGUGCUUGAUGAGCCAAAGAGAGGCAAAAAUGAGACAGGGGUCAAAGAAUAUUUAUGACGCUACUGCAAUAGUUUAAGCAAAUAAGGGGGAAAAGGUGGCUUUUGUUAGAGUAGAAGUAUUGAAGAUGGAGAGAAGUGGAUGGAUGUUGGGUAUGUUUGAAGACAGGGCUUGCUAAUGGAUUGGGCCUGAGGGAUGAAGAGAGAAAAAUCGAAGAUAAAUUCUACAUUUGGAAAAUAAGAAACGUAGUCAAUGAUGGUGCAGCAGAAGCAGGUUUUAGCCAUGUAAUGCCUGAGAUGCCUGUUAGUCAAAUGCAGAUAUCGAGGAGACAGUUGUGUAUAAGAGUUCCAAGGAGCAGUCAGGGCUAGAUAUCAAGAUUUAGGAGUCAUCAAUAUAUACAUGGUAUUUAAUGUUUUUAAAUCACCUAGGAAAAGGCUGUAAGAUAGAGAAGUAGGCUUUGAUUGAGAUUCAGAGCAUGUCAAUGAAUCCAAUUGUCAAAAAAACCAGUUGGCCAUCUGGAUUAAAUGCUUUAAGAAGCCAAGUUUAGAAUAAAGAAAUGGCCAUUGGGCAUGGCAACAUGGAAGUUAACUGAUGAUUUUGACCAGGGCAGUGUCUAUGAAGUAAUGAAGUCAAAGUAAUGAUUGAAGUGGAUUAAGAAGGUACUUUAGAAAAGAAGGUGGAGUUAGUAUCUAUAAACAUCUCUUUCAAGAAGUUUUGCCAUAAGAAAGUAAGAGAAACAGGGCAGUAGCUGAGUAGCUGCAAGUAGAUGUGGGGUCAAAGGAGGGGUGUGUGUGUGUGUGUGUGCAUGUGUGUGUAUGAGUGUACUUAGAGAAAGGAUGCUAGAGCAUAUUUAUCUAUGAUGAGAUUGAUCUCGUAGAAAGGGGAAAACUGAUUAUGCAAGAGAGAAUUUAAUUAGAAAAGGCUUUGAGAAGUAGAAGGGUUAGGAUUCAUAGCAUAGGUAGGAAGGUUAGUUUUUGAUAGGAGGAGACACAGAACUACAAAGGGAGGGAAGGCAGAGUGUGUAAUAUGCAGAUAGAUUGGUAGAUUUGCGGUAGAAACGUAAGGAUGUUACUAUGUGAGUAGCUUUAUUUUACCAAGAAGAGAUAAGAGUCAAUAUGGGGAGUGGGAAGCAAGUACAGUCUGACGGAGAGAUGUGCCAGCAUUUGGAAAGGGGGAACACACACACACACAUGUAUAUACAUAUAUACAUGCAUAUAUAAACAUAGUCAAUGGGUAUUUGUAUGUAAUACACCACAGGAAAAAAGACCUUUGUAUAAAACAUGUUAAAGCCAUUUUUACUAAAUAUUUUUGAGACAUCUGAUUUGGAAGACCUGAAACUGAAUUCUGAGCUCUCCAAAGAUGCUGAUAACAGAGUCCUUUUUCCAUAAAUGUAGAAAUUAAGUGAGGACUUCUCAAUGCCAUAGAAACUUAUGUUUUUUUGUCUAUUACAGUGUAAAACACAGAAAUAGCUUGUAGCUAUUCUAAUUCAAAGCCUAUGAAAAUUAGUUUAAUCCUAAAAGAUGUGUAUUGUAUGCUCAAGCUGUCAAUAUUCUCAAAACACUAUCUUGACAGGGUUUGAGUCCCCCAAAUCCAAAAAAAAGAAAAAGAAAAAGAAAAAAAAGGCAAUAAGGCUCUAAUCGUUUGGUAAAACAGUACUUUUAUUUUGUUUUGUUUUCAUAUAGAAAAUCUGUCAUUUAGCCCUCUCUAUCUUAUAGGAAGGAUGUGAUUUUUUUUCAUUGUGCUUGGAGCUUUAUUUCUGGAUAGGCUAUAUGUAAUUCAGUGUGUUGGAAUUUAUAUGUGCAUAUUUAUUCUUUGGAUUUGAUGUAAAAUUAGAUUGUGAAUAAUGGAAUACGAUUGCUCUCCAUUUUUUUCUGUUUUAGCAUAGCCAAAAAUAUAAAAAUAUAUGUGUACAUAUAAAUAUGUAUUUGAUUAAACACUUAAUAUUUAAAUGGCCAUGUCAAAUAUUAAAUGGUAGAUUUGACAGUUGCAGUGUAUUCAAAAUAAAAGAUCUUUGUAGCACAAAUCCUAAAAAGUUUAUUAAUUAAAUACUAAAUACUACAUUUAUAUUAAAUGCCUAGAUAACACCUAUCUAGGUUGAGACUUUUAAUCCCUCAUAGAGUAAUAUUUAACUAAUGAAAAACCGCAACUGAAAACAUUUUUCCUUCCUAUGAGUAUGAUUUUUAAAAUGUAUUUCUUUGUAACCUGUCAUAAAGUUAUUUAUCAUUAAUUAUGGAUUUAGCACUGUACCCGUCUACUCUUGCAAAAGGGGGGAAAGAUCUGUUUGUGAGAAUAAGGAAGUGCAGCACUGUAUUAUUUUUUCUCUUUGGUAUUACAUCACUGUUUAGAGCUUCAAUAUAUGCCUUCCACUCAGGUUCUUUACACAGCCUAUGUUCUCUUUUCUGGUUGUAUCACAAUAUGGUAGAAAGAUAAACACAGUAAGAGAAUGUUAACAAUAGAACUGCAAUCCUACCUAUUAUCUACUUCAUUAUGACAGUGACGUAGUCCAGACUUACUUGAAGGUGGUAUUCUUUUCAUCUUAUAAAAAUAUACUGUAAUAUUAUGAUGUUCCAUGUAAAUUUUCAUGUGCUGGCAUGCUUACAAGUUAUAGUGUUAUAGAAUGCUCAGCUCUCAAUGAGGGAUUGUUUGUGGUG